rnacentral:lncRNA from 1 species
ACAAGUCACUAAGGCACGCUUGUUUCAUCGAAACUAGACUUUGGGUUGAAGUGAACUUUGGGUUGAACUGGAGCUCGGUGAAAAUUACUUUUAUUUCGCUGUUUGUUUCGUAGUUAUGGAAGUGAAGUUUCAUCAGUUCUGCUGUUUGUUUGGUAGAAUAUGUAUAAUAUAAAACUAUAAUUUAUAUAUAAAUAAUAAAUAUUUUAAUACAUAAAAAUAAUAUAAUUAUAUUUUUAUAUAAUUAAAAUUUAAUUUAAAACAACUAAAUUAUUUUUUAUAUACAAAUUAUAGUAAUACAAUAAUAAAAUUAUAAAGUAAAAAAAUAUAAAUACUUAAUUAAUCAAAUUUUAUCAUAUUUUAAAUAUACAAACUAAAUAAAGACAAUAUUAAAACUUAACUAAUCAAUUUUUAUCAUAUUUUAGAUAUAUUAACUGAAUAAAAAAAUAAUUAGUAACAUAAUAAAUAAUUAAAUAUAACUAGCUUUAUCUAUUAUAUUAUUUUAUUAUUUUUUUCACCUCUCUUCACCGUAAUUGACUUCGGCCCACGAUGGGGCGAAGUCAAUUACGCCGUUUGAGGUUAACUCGAUUUUUGACCGUAACUUUUUUACGGCGAACCAAAUAACGGAAAUGGUCGUUUAGGACGAAAACGAUUUCCCCUCCUCUCCACUUCUACCCCACUUCCACCCAAACAAACAUGCCCUAAAGCUUCCUUUGGGAUUACAAUGAUAUAGCCUUAUGUACAAGAAAAGUACGAUAAAAAAAAUAUUUUAUUUAUUUUCAUAUAUAAUAUAUUACAUACGGCAUAUUGCGAUAAGUCGGUUAUGAUAUAUUUUUUACGGUUGCACUAGAGAAUAUAGAAAUAUAUUCCUAUAUGGUUUUACUUAACUCUAUUUUAUCUAAUAGUGUCAGAUAGGUCUCAAUACCAAACUACGCCUAAGAGUUGAGUAGAUUAUUGAAUAGAGUUAAAGAAUGAAGAAUCAAGUCUGAGUUAAGUUUACUAAUAGCAAUUGAUUAAUUGCAUUAUUUAGAAUUAAACUACUAUACUAUUAAUAGUACUAAGCAUUUGUUACUAUUAGAUUGUUGGUCAUUGGAUGAACUGAUAUGCGGUUAGGAUGAUAAUGAUUCUCUAGGAUUGAGUGGGUGAUUAGUUAAAUAGUAUAAUCUAACGGGUGAAAAUGAUCAAAGGAAUAAAUCAAACGGCGGAAAACUCGAUAGCGCCAAGAGCUUGGUACUAUCAAUAAUAUAUAGCGCUAAGAGAUUGGUACUAUCAAUAAUAUAUAGUAGCCGGAUUCGCAUUAUUUAUUACAAACUUUUUUUUCAUAAAUUUUUUAUUUUCUCUUUAAACUUUUUAUUUUUGGCCUUUUUGCAUAAAAAAUUCACUUAUUUUAGACUUUUGCAAAACCGGGUCACCUUUUUCGUUUUUGCAGAUUCGGUACGUUUUUUCAGCAAACUGACCAAAAUACCCUUAUUACUUUUUCUCUUUCUUUUUUCUCUCUCCUCUUUAUUCUCUCGUUCUUUUUUUUUUCACCGAAAAAAAAAAAAGCGAAGGCCAGGCAGGCGUGUCGCCGGAGCACCGCCAGGCGGGCUCUUCUUCUUCUUCUUCUUCUUCCUGCAGGAGCAAUUUUUUUUUUCUCUUUUUCUUUUUCUUCUUCUUCUUCCUCCUGCUG